GAUUAACGCUGGCGGUACGUCUAAUACAUGCAAGUCGAACGGAGUUAGGUGCUUGCACCUAACUUAGUGGCGAACGGGUGAGUAACACGUGGGUAAUCUGCCUUAGAGAUGGGAACAACAUUCGGAAACGGAUGCUAAUACCCAAUAAUAGUUGCGAAGGCAUCUUUGCAAUUUAAAAGGAACUUCAAAGUUCCGCUUUAAGAGGAGCCUGCGGUGCAUUAGCUAGUUGGUAGGGUAAUGGCCUACCAAGGCGAUGAUGCAUAGCUGGACUGAGAGGUUGAACGGCCACAUUGGGACUGAGAACGGCCCAAACUCCUACGGGAGGCAGCAGUAGAGAAUCUUCGGCAAUGGGGGCAACCCUGACCGAGCGAUACCGCGUGAACGAAGAAAUACUUUUAGUAUGUAAAGUUCUUUUAUUUAGGAGAAAUGAUACGUUUAGGAAAUGAUACGUAGGUGAUAGUACUAAAUGAAUAAGCCCCGGCUAACUAUGUGCCAGCAGCCGCGGUAAUACAUAGGGGGCAAGCGUUAUCCGGAAUUAUUGGGUGUAAAGGGUGCGUAGGCGGAAGACUAAGUUUAGGGGUUUAAUUGCGGGGCUCAACCCCGUACUGCUCUAAAAACUGGUCAACUAGAGUAAGGUAGAGGCAAGUGGAAUUCCAUGUGUAGUGGUAAAAUGCGUAAAUAUAUGGAGGAACACCAGUGGCGAAGGCGGCUUGCUGGACCUAAACUGACGCUCAGGCACGAAAGCGUGGGGAGCAAACAGGAUUAGAUACCCUGGUAGUCCACGCCGUAAACGAUGAAUGCUAGGUGUUUGGGGUAACCUAAGUGCCGCAGUUAACGCAGUAAGCAUUCCACCUGAGUAUUACGUGCGCAAGCAUAAAACUCAAAGGAAUUGGCGGGACCUCGCACAAGCGGUGGAUCAUGUUGUUUAAUUCGUGGAUACGCGAAGAACCUUACCAGGUCUUGACAUCCCGGGCAAUGAGUAUAGAAAUAUAUUCGGAGGUUAUCCCGGUGACAGGUGGUGCAUGGUUGUCGUCAGCUCGUGUCGUGAGAUGUUAGGUUAAGUCCUGUAACGAGCGCAACUCCUAUCACUAGUUACCAUCAUUUAGUUGGGUACUUUAGUGAGACUGCCAAUGACAAAUUGGAGGAAGGUGGGAAUGACGUCAAAUCAUCAUGCCCCUUAUGGCCUGGGCUACAAACGUGAUACAAUGGUUGAUACAAAGGGAAGCAAGAUAGCGAUAUGGAGCAAAUCCCAUAAAAUCAAUCUCAGUUCAGAUUGAAGUCUGCAACUCGACUUCAUGAAGAUGAAAUCGCUAGUAAUCGUAGAUCAGAACGCUACGGUGAAUACGUUCUCGAGGUU
rnacentral:rRNA from 1 species